UACGUAGGGACCGAGCGUUGUCCGGAAUCAUUGGGCGUAAAGGGUGCGUAGGCGGUCUGUUAAGUUGGAUGUGAAAACUCUGGGCUCAACCCAGAGCCUGCAUCCAAAACUGGCAGGCUAGAGUUCUGGAGGGGGUAGCGGAAUUCCUGGUGUAGCGGUGAAAUGCGUAGAUAUCAGGAGGAACACCGGUGGCGAAGGCGGCUACCUGGACAGAAACUGACGCUGAGGCACGAAAGCUAGGGGAGCAAACAGG
rnacentral:rRNA from 1 species